AAAUUGUUUUAGUUGGUAAGAGUAAAAAAAAUUUACUUAACAACCGCAUAGCAACCAAUAAUUUUUUAUAGAUAUAUUACCCAAAGACCUAGAUUUAAACAAUUAUUUCUUUUCAUGGGUCUGUAUAAUUAACUAAACUUUUGAACCAGAGUUAUUUUUAGCAAAGCCGUAUGUUUUGAUGUUAUUUGUUAAGCAGAAAAAAAAAUCCAUCCAUGCCUGGAUGGCGCAACACAAAAUCCAAAUGAGGUUUUCAACCAGAUAAUCUGGAAAAAGUGUCCAAAAAAUAUUUUUGUUACUAAAAAGCUCUUGCCUGGAAGUUUUAUGAUCCAAGGAUCGUGGAAGAAGGACGUAUCAAGAGUAAAGAACACGAUUAAAAAUUCAACUCCAAAGCAAAAAAGGGCUAGAAGGAAAAGGAGAUGUAUCAGGAAGGGUUAUAUUGAUAAGGAGAAAGAAAAAGAGGGAGUAGACUCUUAUAUUACAGGAAAUUUUUAAUUAAUAAAUUGUUUUUAAACUUUGAA